AGACGACAGUCAAGAAAGCUAAAAACUUUAAAACUCUGCGCAUGGAUCCAAUUCUUCAGCUGGAUUCCCACAUACCUGCCCCAAAACAGGGGGUUGAUCUGAAAAAAAAAUAAAAAAAUAAAGAUGACUCUUUGUGGACACUGGUGAAACGGAUGAAAAAGAUACACAACCACAGAUGACAGUCAAGAAAGGUAAAAACUUUAAACCUCUGCUCAUGGAUCCAAUUCUUCAGCUGGAUUCCCACAUACCUGCCCAAAAACGUUCCAGGCACCUGAUCUAGAUGUUCAGCAUAGAUAUGAACUUGCCAGCUCUCUUCACAGUCUAAAGCCAGAGGGCAGCAUCCUAAAAGACAGAUUUAAGAGUUUACAGAAGACAAACACUGAGGCCAGAGAAAGAGCCAAGUUUAAGAGGAAAUAUAAGCUGAAGUACUCAGAAAAGAGGGCCUUCAGGGAGAUACAGUGACCGCACAAGUUGUUUUCUUUCAGUCCUCCAACAAAUUAUGGGGUGCUAUUCAUGUUGCAAUAAAAAUAAGUUUAUAUUACAACAA